GCAGCAGUGAGGAAUAUUGGUCAAUGGGCGCGAGCCUGAACCAGCCAAGUCGCGUGAGGGAAGACGGUCCUAUGGAUUGUAAACCUCUUUUGUCGGGGAGCAAGAAAGGGUAUGCAUACCCUACUGAGAGUACCCGAAGAAAAAGCAUCGGCUAACUCCGUGCC
rnacentral:rRNA from 1 species